rnacentral:rRNA from 1 species
AGUCGAACGAUGAAGCCCAGCUUGCUGGGUGGAUUAGUGGCGAACGGGUGAGUAACACGUGGGUGAUCUGCCCUGCACUUCGGGAUAAGCCUGGGAAACUGGGUCUAAUACCGGAUAUGACCAAGGACUGCAUGGUUUUUGGUGGAAAGGUUUACUGGUGCAGGAUGAGCCCGCGGCCUAUCAGCUUGUUGGUGGGGUAAUGGCCUACCAAGGCGACGACGGGUAGCCGGCCUGAGAGGGCGACCGGCCACACUGGGACUGAGACACGGCCCAGACUCCUACGGGAGGCAGCAGUGGGGAAUAUUGCACAAUGGGCGAAAGCCUGAUGCAGCGACGCCGCGUGAGGGAUGACGGCCUUCGGGUUGUAAACCUCUUUCAGCAGGGACGAAGCGCAAGUGACGGUACCUGCAGAAGAAGCACCGGCCAACUACGUGCCAGCAGCCGCGGUAAUACGUAGGGUGCGAGCGUUGUCCGGAAUUACUGGGCGUAAAGAGCUCGUAGGCGGUUUGUCGCGUCGUCUGUGAAAACCCGCAGCUCAACUGCGGGCUUGCAGGCGAUACGGGCAGACUUGAGUACUGCAGGGGAGACUGGAAUUCCUGGUGUAGCGGUGAAAUGCGCAGAUAUCAGGAGGAACACCGGUGGCGAAGGCGGGUCUCUGGGCAGUAACUGACGCUGAGGAGCGAAAGCGUGGGUAGCGAACAGGAUUAGAUACCCUGGUAGUCCACGCCGUACACGGUGGGCGCUAGGUGUGGGUUUCCUUCCACGGGAUCCGUGCCGUAGCUAACGCAUUAAGCGCCCCGCCUGGGGAGUACGGCCGCAAGGCUAAGACUCAAAGGAAUUGACGGGGGCCCGCACAAGCGGCGGAGCAUGUGGAUUAAUUCGAUGCAACGCGAAGAACCUUACCUGGGUUUGACAUAUACCGGAUCGCCUCAGAGAUGGGGUUUCCCUUGUGGUCGG